CAACAGAGGGAGGCAAAGCCGCGAGGCAGAGCAAACCCCUAAAAAGCCAUCCCAGUUCGGAUUGCAGGCUGCAACCCGCCUGUAUGAAGUUGGAAUCGCUAGUAAUCGCGGAUCAGCACGCCGCGGUGAAUACGUUCCCGGGCCUUGUACACACCGCCCGUCACACCACGGAAGUUGGGAGUACCCAAAGUAGGUUACCUAACCGCAAGGAGGGCGCUUCCUAAGGUAAGACCGAUGACUGGGGUGAAGUCGUAACAAGGUAAC
rnacentral:rRNA from 1 species